GUAUAUGAGGUGAUUAAUUGGGAGGGCAAAUCAAGUGCCAGCAGCCGCGGUAAUACUUGUUCCAAGAGUGUGUAUGAUGAUUGAUGCAGUUAAAAUGUCCGUAGUUUAUUUUUUUAAGAAGCAAUAUGAGGUGUACUGUAUAGUUGGGAGAAAGAUGAAAUGUGACGACCCUGACUGGGCGAACAGAAGCGAAAGCUGUACACUUGUAUGUAUUUUUUGAACAAGGACGUAAGCUGGAGGAGCGAAGAUGAUUAGAUACCAUUGUAGUUCCAGCAGUAAACUAUGCCGACGAUGUGAUAUGAAAAUGUUAAUUUGUAUUACAUAAUAGAAAUUUGAGUUUUUUGGCUCUGGGGAUAGUAUGAUCGCAAGAUUGAAAAUUAAAGAAAUUGACGGAAGAAUACCACAAGGAGUGGAUUGUGCGGCUUAAUUUGACUCAACGCGAGGUAACUUACCAAUAUUUUAUUAUUUUGAGAGAACGGUUUUUUGUUUGAGAAUGAUAAUAGCGGUGCAUGGCCGUUUUCAAUGGAUGCUGUGAAGUUUUGAUUAAUUUCAACAAGACGUGAGACCCUUAUUUUUUUAUUAAAGACAGACACAAUCAGUGUAGGAAGGAAAGGAUUAAAACAGGUCCGUUAUGCCCUCUGACAUUUUGGGCUGCACGCGCAAUACAAUAGAUAUA
rnacentral:rRNA from 1 species